rnacentral:rRNA from 1 species
GUGGGGAAUUUUGGACAAUGGGCGCAAGCCUGAUCCAGCAAUGCCGCGUGCAGGAAGAAGGCCUUCGGGUUGUAAACUGCUUUUGUACGGAACGAAACGGUCCGGGUUAAUACCCUGGGCUAAUGACGGUACCGUAAGAAUAAGCACCGGCUAACUACGUGCCAGCAGCCGCGGUAAUACGUAGGGUGCAAGCGUUAAUCGGAAUUACUGGGCGUAAAGCGUGCGCAGGCGGUUUUGUAAGACAGGCGUGAAAUCCCCGGGCUCAACCUGGGAAUUGCGCUUGUGACUGCAAGGCUGGAGUGCGGCAGAGGGGGAUGGAAUUCCGCGUGUAGCAGUGAAAUGCGUAGAUAUGCGGAGGAACACCGAUGGCGAAGGCAAUCCCCUGGGCCUGCACUGACGCUCAUGCGCGAAAGCGUGGGGAGCAAACAGGAUUAGAAACCCCAGUAGUCC